CAGUAAUGACAAAGAUCAGGCUUUCUCCUGUGGCCACUGGAACAAUUUAACAAUACACAGCAACAAAUAGGCAAUCUGUUUUGCAGGAAAACCUGUGUUGCUGUAUGAGAACUAUUGAGUCAUAGCCUGAAUCUCUGAUUGAUCACCUGAGGCAAGCACUGAGUUAGCCCUGGAAGCACAGGUGAAGGCAAUUCAGCUGUGCUACCAGAAGAGGUGGAGACUGGCUGUGCAUCUCCUAGACCCUAUUUAAGGGCUGAUUGUCACUGAGGAAGUUAAUUUUUUUUGGAGAUUCUGUUGUUUAGUUUUAUGUUCCUGUGAGUCUGGGACAGGGGUGUGUGUUUCAUUGUUUUUUGCUUGCAUUUUUUUACUGCAAUAAUUUUUCCUUUGAAGUAACUUGUAAAAUACCAGUUUGCUAAUUGUAUAUUGAUCAAGCAUACGUUUGUAAACUGUUGGGUUCUCUAAAGCUGUUCAGUUAUUUCUUCUGUAGUUGUGACUCAUUCCUCAGGAGCCAGAGUCCCUUUUGUUGUACUCUACAUGUGCUAAUAUUUUUGUGUUUCUGUGGUUUUUCAAGGAAAUUUGUGAAGAAUGAGAAAUGAAGUACUAAAACCUAUUAAUUUGGAAGGUGUUGUAGUAGAGAAAUUGGUUAUUGACCUUGAUUGUUGCAAGCAGAUGAAGCAGAUGUAUAAGCUGGAGAGCAUGCUGCAGUCGUACUGUCAUUCCCUUGGCUCUCUGACUGGAGCAAACAGGAGACAAUACGUGGAAGGAUGUCUUUAUGCUGAAAAAAGAGAGGAAGUGCAGUACUGAUGACUGUGGGAGUGAGCAGUAAAGCUUUACUUUCAUAUGGGACUGUUCUUCCUGAAACCACUAAAGCCAUCAAUUCUCCAUUUUUUUUUCCCAACUUAUUUUGAUAUCAGCUGAUGCAGCCAAUAAGAAGAAAAGGUAGCGUGUAGUUCACAGUUUGGUCGUACAUAUAGAUUACAUGGAUUACUUUCAGUCUCCAGUAUCAGUCUAACGCUAUGCCUGUGCAGUCAUGAUUCAGUGUACCAUCCUGUGUAUCCAUACAAAGCCUUAGCAUUAGGGGAGUUUUUGAUCCACUUUGCCUAAUUAAUCUGAAAGCCUGGGUUUGCUCAAAGGAAAAGCUUGUAAUGCAGUGACUUUUAAAAAUGCACUUCUUGUUCUGCUAUCAAUCUUUAUCCAUUUUGAAGGACGCUUUAUGGAUAUAAAUUAUGAGGUCUGUCAGGGGAAGGUUCAUAGAUAAAUGGGUUCAGUCACCGGAAUAUCACUUCCUACAGGACUGACUGCCGAGUAACAGUAAAUUAUGGAGACUGAAGAAGUUUAUAAAAGCCUGAUCAGUUCAAUUACUUCACUUCUGAAUAGACAGCAGCUUAUGCAAAAACCAAGCAUAUGGUGUCACAUCACAGGUUCACAAAUGUCAGUUUGACAAUUACGAUAGACUUAAUGAUUGCCAGCGUGGUUAAAUACAGCAUUAGAGUAAAACUGACUUUAAAAGCUUAAGCAUUUUUUUAAAUGUUAUGCAGGUUCAUCCAG
rnacentral:lncRNA from 1 species